GACGGGGGCCCGCACAAGCGGCGGAGCAUGCGGAUUAAUUCGAUGCAACGCGAAGAACCUUACCAAGACUUGACAUAUACGAGAACGGGCUAGAAAUAGUCAACUCUUUGGACACUCGUAAACAGGUGGUGCAUGGUUGUCGUCAGCUCGUGUCGUGAGAUGUUGGGUUAAGUCCCGCAACGAGCGCAACCCUCGUUCUUUGUUGCCAGCACGUAAUGGUGGGAACUCAAAGGAGACUGCCGGGGUCAACUCGGAGGAAGGUGGGGAUGACGUCAAAUCAUCAUGCCCCUUAUGUCUUGGGCUUCACGCAUGCUACAAUGGCCGAUACAAAGGGCUGCAAUACCGCAAGGUGGAGCGAAUCCCAAAAAGUCGGUCUCAGUUCGGAUUGAGGUCUGCAACUCGACCUCAUGAAGUCGGAGUCGCUAGUAAUCGCAGAUCAGCAACGCUGCGGUGAAUACGUUCCCGGGCCUUGUACACACCGCCCGUCAAGUCAUGAAAGUCGGUAACACCCGAAGCCAGUGGCCUAACCCGUAAGGGGAGGAGCUGUCGAAGGUGGGAUUGGUAAUUAGGACUAAGUCGUAACAAGGUAACC
rnacentral:rRNA from 1 species